CAGAUUAGCUUAAAUUUCUGAGUUCUCAGACCAUUUUCAAUUGAGAAUGACUUCCGGAUUGGAGCCGAAACUUCCGGAUUGGAGCCGAAACGUCUUGAUUCUGAAAACAGUGUCCAGAUGACUACGACUGAAACCCUUUCUACGAUGGAACACUCCUAGAUGAAUGAUCUGGUCACUUAAACGUAUCAUGCUUUGUCAAACUAUGUUUAUUUGUCUAGUUUAAAAGAUUGGAUUUAAACAAGUCUGAAAGUCUGAUGUGAUAGUGAUUCUGCCCUCAUGUCAGGAUAUGGUAAAAAAAGUACCGCAAGUUGAUUAAUUGCAUGAAGAUGCCAGUUCCUGGGUCUCAAUUCUUUUAAUUAGUAUCUUGCUGGUUUACAAUUUAACCCCACCACUACCCAAUUUUCCACAUGUGAGAAUUCUAGCGGUAUCACUAUACAUUAUAAUUAAACUGGUCUGUUGUUAUGACUGAUUUUGCUUUGAUCUGUUUAACUCAGUCGAGAUGAAGACUGGUGUAAGCUGGCCAACAGACAGUAAAUCUGCUUUCUUGAGCUAGAAAGAUCUGUGGGAGACUACAUAUGAACAUGAGGGAAGUGUGGCUGGAAGAUGACACUUCUUAAAUAACACUUUCUAAAAUGUAUUGUAAGCUUUCUAGGGUGGAUUCUGUGAUGCUGACUGACUAUUCUGUGGUGUCCUCUGUUUUACAGCGCUUCCAAAACUUAUUUAUUUUAUUUUUUUGUGGAUGUGACAACCAGAAUGAUGGGUCCUGGAAUGUGUGCUACCUGUGAUUUCUUAUGUUGCUCAUGAAACUCCAUUUGGAAAUGUCUGCUGUUAAUUGUUGUUUGUUAGUUUACCACAGGGUGGCAUCUCUUCAGUACAUGAGCACCAGGUAUGACAUGGGGCGGCUCAUUUUCCAGGAGAGCCCGGUUCAGGACGCACUCUAAAAAUUGCAACCAUACAGUACAGUCAUCUGUUCAGCGACAUGAAGAGAGAGUCCAUGGAUUUCAGCUUCUUCUCUGAUUGACAUUUGUCAACGAAACCAUGGAGAAAACAAAUAAAUACACAUUGUAAAAGAAAGAAAAAAAGACAUUAUAGUGUUUACUAAAAUGAGGACAAAAAUUCACGGGAAUUGUUUCACUCUCUCUGUAACACAUAAAACAUGUAACACAUGUUCUCCUUACAUAUUACUUCUUGUCUGAUGCGUACAAAUCUAUUUUGUUAUACUUUUUUGCCGGAAUGUUGGUCAGUAAAUUUUGGUAAUCACUUAGCAAACUAAUAGGUCUAUACCCUUCACGGGAUGUUGGGUCCUUACCCUCUUU